CAGCUCAUUCAUCAGGUGUUACCACCAGAAGGCUCCGGUUAUUGCUGAGGAGGAGGCGGGUGUGUGUCUCUCUCUGCUCAGGAUACAGCUCUGGAGUUGAGCUCCGUGGACCAGAAGCUGCUGCCUCCUCCAUUUUGACCUGGGAACCCAAACUGAGAAGCUGCUUCUUACCCAGCAGAGGAGAGACCUUUGUUAAAGCCCCUCGGUGCCCAGCUCGGGUGGGGACUUUCUCCGGUGCCUGGAACCUGCCCCUGGGGCAGCCCCGGGCUCUGCGGACACCAGCUCCUGAACUGGAGCCCGCAGGCUGAAGAAUCACAUCCAGAUUUCGCUCCAGAUCGUCCCGUCUUCCAGGAGACGGAGAAGGGAAAUGGCUGUGAUGGAGCCAGCUCAGAUGCCGGUGACCUUCAAGGAGGUGGCUGUGUAUUUCACCCAAGGGCAGGGGGCUCUGCUGGACCCCGCUCAGAGAGCCCUCUACAGGGACGUAAUGCAGGAGAAUUACAAGACAGUGACCUCGUUGGGUAAGCGAUUCCUGUCCCCUCAAUUAUUAGAAAGUGUAGGGCCUGCAUUUCUGACUCUGGUUACGUCAGUGUUUUCCCCAGGAAUUGAAAUUAGGGGGAGUGUUCGGAUUUACGGGGGGUGAGGAGUCCAGGGCCAAUGAGGGGUGAGACCGUGAGGGUGAAGGUGGGCUGUAUGGCACCAUAGUUAAAACUGAACAAUGUUUCAUGACCAUUUUAUUAGGUUUAAUUCGUGUUUUACAAUCAUCACAAAUUAAAGUUGGCUACUCAAGCCUUCUGUGAAGCACUGUAUCUACAUCCUUCUUGGUUUCUUGUUAUAAUUUUGCACAACUCUGUUAAUGAACUUCUUGAAUGCA